rnacentral:rRNA from 1 species
UACGAAGGGGGCUAGCGUUGUUCGGAAUUACUGGGCGUAAAGCGUUUGUAGGCGGUUAUACAAGUCAGAUGUGAAAUCCUGGGGCUCAACCUCAGAAUUGCAUUUGAAACUGUAUAGCUAGAGAAUGUUAGAGGAAAGUGGAAUUCCUAGUGAAGGAGUGAAAUCCGUAGAGAUUAGGAGGAAUAUCGAUGGCGAAGGCAGCUUUCUGGGACAUUGCUGACGCUGAGAAACGAAAGCGUGGGUAGCAAACAGG